AGCGAUGUAGCGCAGUGGUAGUGCACCUGCCUGCGACGCAGAAGUUUCCGGGUUCGAUUCUCGGUGAGUCGUUU